rnacentral:rRNA from 1 species
UAGGGAAUAUUGCAAAAUGGGCGAAAGCCCGAUGCAGCAACGCCGCGUGGGCGAUGAAGGCCUUCGGGUCGUAAAGCCCUUUUUGAGAGGAUGAGGAAGGACAGUACCCUCAGAGAAAGCCCCGGCUAACUACGUGCCAGCAGCCGCGGUAAUACGUAGGGGGCAAGCGUUGUCCGGAUUUACUGGGUGUAAAGGGCGCGCAGGCGGGAUAAAAAGUCAGUGGUGAAAUCCUACAGCUUAACUGUAGAACUGCCUUUGAUACUUUUAUUCUUGAGUUCGGGAGAGAGAGACGGAAUUCCAGGUGUAGUGGUGAAAUACGUAGAUAUCUGGAAGAACACCAGUUGCGAAGGCGGUCUCUUGGUCCGACACUGACGCUGAGGCGCGAAAGCGUGGGGAGCAAACA